rnacentral:sRNA from 1 species
GUGGGCUUUUCCGCCACCUUAAGCAAGUGGGCAUCGGUUUUGGGGAAAGGAUUCCAAUAGCCGUAAAUGCAAGCACGACCCGGUGCUUGUCUUUCACGGCAAUAUCGCCGGUGGUGUUGCCGUGAAGCGGUUUGAGCAUGGACCGCACAAUGAAACGAUACUUUUGUGUUGUGCUCGUUGUAUCUGGUGUGAUGUUGUCGUCUGGAAAGGGAAGUUGGAAUCUCUCCGACAACGUUAUUUCAGUAACAAUCUAUCACCAGAGCAAGUAAGCCAGAUGGCCGCUUGGCGGCCAUCUUU